UACCUUGUGCGCUCAUAGAGAGGAAAGCACACUAAGAAUUCUGGCCACUAUGUUCCAAAUAAACAAAAAUACAAUACCAUUCUUCUCCUCUCAAUCCUCUAGGCCGUGAGCUGUAAGAAGCACCAAGAAGCAAAUUUCAUCUCCCUUCCACCUCCUUUCUCCUCUUAAACCGUGGACAUUCAAGAGGAAUACAAAGACUUGGGCUGCACUGAUUGGUCUUCCAAUCCCCAUUCCUAGCCAUGAGCCAUAGUGAAUCAACCAUCCUUUAAACAAGUUCCUCUUCUAUUUUUGGUUCAGCCGUGGACCAACCCCAUGGAGAUUGGAGCACAAACCUAAAUCCUUCCUCCUCCUAUAUUUUGUUCGGCCAAGCCUUAAGUCAAGGAGCUGAAAACUAGAUUCUUUGAAAGGAAAAGCGCUGCACUUAAAUUCUGACCCAUCUCCUUUUUCAUGCAAGGGCAAGUGAGUACUUCUCCAUCUUGUUCACUCUCUGGAUUUUUUUGCGCAUGAGUGUAUAGGUGACCUAUUUCUUUACCUUGUUUUCUGUCUCGGCAUCUUGGGUAUUGGGAGAAUGAGAAGUCAAGCACGAGGCUUGGUGGUUAGUCCCCUAGUUGAUGGGCGAACUCUGGUGUCUAUGCAGGGAGGUGCACAUAAACCUUGAAUGUGGACUAAGUUUGCUGCUGUUUGAUGAAUGGUUGAGCAUACAAGGAGGACGGAAGAGCAUAUGAAGACAUGAUUAUAUGGAUAUUUGUUAUUAUGUGCUGCUGUUUGGACUUUUGCUGUUGCUGUUUAUUUGAGGGAUGAUUGUAUUAAUUUGAGAAGUUGUAUUACUGUUGAACUAUGAUUUUAGUACUGUUUUAAGACUUUUAGGAUCAGCAAGUACUUGGAAAUAAAUUUUAGAAACGUU